GAAACUGCGAAUGGCUCAUUAAAACAGUUAUAGUUUAUUUGAUAGUGCACAUUACAUGGAUAACCGUGGUAAUUCUAGAGCUAAUACAUGCGCAAAUACCUGACUCACGAAAGGUAGCAUUUAUUAGAUUUAACCAUCAUAUGGUGAAUCAUAGUAACUUGGCGGACCGCGCUCCGGCGUGGUAAAUCAUUCAAGUUUCUGCCCUAUCAGCUUUCGAUGGUAGUGUAUUGGACUACCAUGGCAGUCACGGGUAACGGAGAAUUAGGGUUCGAUUCCGGAGAGGGAGCCUGAGAAACGGCUACCACAUCUAAGGAAGGCAGCAGGCGCGUAAAUUACCCAAUCCCAAUUCGGGGAGGUAGUGACAAGAAAUAACAACCUGAGUGGUUCGCCACUUCGGGAUUGCAAUGAGAUAAGUCUAAAUCCGUAAGCGAUUACCAAUUGGAGGGCAAGUCUGGUGCCAGCAGCCGCGGUAAUUCCAGCUCCAAUAGCGUAUACUUAAGUUGUUGCAGUUAAAAAGCUCGUAGUUGAAAAUCGAAUCAGCUUCAUUAUGGCUUCGGUCAUACUUGUUAGCUGGUUCUCCGUCUACAAACCUUUUUGCUCUUUUACGAGUGCAGCUUGGAGAGUAGACAAUUUACCUUGAAAAAAUUAGAGUGUUCCAGGCAGGUCUUCGCCGGAAUACAUUAGCAUGGAAUAAUGGAAUAGGACUAUGGUCUUUUGUUGGUUUUAGGGCCAGUGUAAUGAUUAAUAGGGACAGAUGGGGGCAUUAGUAUUUAAUUGUCAGAGGUGAAAUUCUUGGAUUUAUUAAAGACUAACUUAUGCGAAAGCAUUUGCCAAGGAUGUUUUCAUUAAUCAAGAACGAAAGUUAGGGGAUCAAAGACGAUCAGAUACCGUCGUAGUCUUAACUAUAAACUAUACCGACUCGAGAUCGGAAGGUGCUCAAUAAGGCCCUUUCGGCAUCGUAAGAGAAAUCAAAGUCUUUGGGUUCUGGGGGGAGUAUGGUCGCAAGGCUGAAACUUAAAGGAAUUGACGGAAGGGCACCACCAGGAGUGGAGCCUGCGGCUUAAUUUGACUCAACACGGGGAAACUUACCAGGUCAAAACAUGGAUGGGAUUGACAGAUUGAAAGCUCUUUCUUGAUUCUAUGGGUGGUGGUGCAUGGCCGUUCUUAGUUGGUGGAGUGAUUUGUCUGGUUAAUUCCGAUAACGAACGAGACCUUAACCUGCUAACUAGUUUGUACCUAAAAAAGGUAUAUAUCUUCUUAGAGGGACUAUGUAUGUUAAAUGCAUGGAAGUUUAAGGCAAUAACAGGUCUGUGAUGCCCCUAGAUGUCCUGGGCCGCACGCGCGCUACACUGACACGUUCAGCGAGUUUAAUCUCCUAUCUCGAAAGGGUAUGGGAAAUCUUGUUAGGACGUGUCGUGCUGGGGAUAGAUCUUUGCAAUUAUAGAUCUUGAACGAGGAAUUCCUUGUAAGCACAGGUCAUCAGCCUGUGCUGAAUACGUCCCUGCCCUUUGUACACACCGCCCGUCGCUCCUACCGAUUUCGAGUGAUGUGGUGAACUAUCUGGACUGUGGACGGGCUUGAACCGUUCGCGGGAAGUUUCGUAAACCUUAUCACUUAGAGGAAGGAGAAGUCGUAACAAGGUUUCCGUAGGUGAACCUGCGGAAGGAUCA
rnacentral:rRNA from 1 species